UCAAGUUAAAAAGAGCACUAGGAGAAUGCCUAGGCACCAAGAGGCGAAGAAGGACGCGAUAAGCUGCGAAAAGCUACGGUAAGGAGCAAAUAUCUAAUGACCCGUAGAUGUCCGAAUGGGGAAACCCACCUCGAAGAGGUAUCCUAUAGCCAAUCCAUAACUAUAGGAAGCGAACCAGGUGAACUGAAACAUCUAAGUAACCUGAGGAAAAGAAAGAAAACUCGAUUCCCCAAGUAGCGGCGAGCGAACAGGGAAGAGCCCGAAGUGUAAAAAGAGAAAAUAGCCAGCCGAAUCCUCUGGGAAGAAGAACCAAAGAAGGUAACAGUCCUGUAGGCGAAAGCGAAAAUAUCCGACACAAAAGAGUACCACGGAACACGAGAAAUUCAGUGGGAACAUGGGGGGACCACCCCCUAAGGCUAAAUACUACUUGGUGACCGAUAGCGAACAAGUACCGUGAGGGAAAGGUGAAAAGAACCCCGGGAGGGGAGUGAAAUAGAAUCUGAAACCUAGUGUUUACAAGCAGCGAAAGUGGCAUAAGCCACGAUCGUGUACUUUUUGUAGAACGGGCCAGCGAGUUACGAUUAUUAGCAAGGUUAAACAUUAAAGAUGUGGAGCCGCAGCGAAAGCGAGUCUAAAUAGGGCAGAAGUUAAUAGUCGUAGACCCGAAACCGUGUGAUCUAUCCAUGGGCAGAGUGAAGUUGAAGUAAAAUUCAAUGGAGGCUCGAACCGGGUAGCGUUUAAAAGCUAUCGGAUGACCUGUGGAUAGGGGUGAAAAGCCAAACGAACACGGAGAUAGCUGGUUCUCCUCGAAAUAGCUUUAGGGCUAGCCUCUAGUGGAAAUGUGAAAAGGGGGUAGAGCACUGAAUGGUCGCGGGGCAUGCAUAUGUUACCAAGACCUAUCAAACUCCGAAUACCAUAUCACACACUAGGGAGUCAGACUAUGUGGGAUGAGCUUCAUAGUCGAAAGGGAAAGAGCCCAGACCAUCAGCUAAGGUCCCAAAAUUAUAGUUAAGUGGGAAAGGAUGUGGAGUUACUGAGACAACUAGGAUGUUGGCUUAGAAGCAGCCACUCAUUCAAAGAGUGCGUAAUAGCUCACUAGUCAAGUGACUCUGCGCCGAAGAUAACCGGGGCUAAACUAUAUACCGAAGCUAUGGAACGUAUAACGUUGGUAGAGGAGCAAUGUAUGAAGGACGAAGCAGAAGUCGUAAGGCACUGUGGACAUCAUACAAGAGAGAAUGCUGGCAUGAGUAGCGAGAGGUGAGUGAGAAUCUCACCCGUCGAAAACCCAAGGAUUCCUGAGCAAGGCUCGUCCACUCAGGGUAAGUCGGGACCUAAGGCGAGGCUGAAAAGCGUAGUCGAUGGACAACAGGUGGAAAUUCCUGUACCGAUACAAUCGUUAAAAAGGAAGUGGGGACGCAGGAGGAAAGUAAGAGCGCCCAGUUGGUGAGGCGUGCAAGCGCAAAGUCUGGAAAGUAGGCAAAUCCGCUUUCCGAAAAGGAUGAAGCGUGAUGCGGAUCGAAAACAAGUAGAGAAGCUUACGGACCCACACUGCCAAGAAAAGCCACUACAAGAGAAGUAUCGCCCGUACCGUAAACCGACACAGGUAGGUGAGGAGAGAAUCCUAAGACGAGCGGAAAAACCUUUGUUAAGGAACUCGGCAAAAUGACCCCGUAACUUCGGGAGAAGGGGAGCCCCUGUAACAGGGGGCCGCAGUGAAAAGGCCCAAGCGACUGUUUACCAAAAACACAAGUUUCUGCAAAGUCGAAAGACGAAGUAUAGGAGCUGACACCUGCCCGGUGCUGGAAGGUUAAGGGAAAAAGUUAGCGCAGGCGAAGCUUAGAACUGAAGCCCCAGUAAACGGCGGCCGUAACUAUAACGGUCCUAAGGUAGCGAAAUUCCUUGUCGGGUAAGUUCCGACCCGCACGAAAGGUGUAACGAUUUGGG
rnacentral:rRNA from 1 species